rnacentral:rRNA from 1 species
UACAGAGGGUGCAAGCGUUGUUCGGAAUUACUGGGCGUAAAGCGCGUGUAGGCGGCGCGGCAAGUCUUGUGUGAAAGCCCCGGGCUCAACCCGGGAAGUGCGCGAGAUACUGCUGUGCUGGAGUACUGGAGAGGAUGGCGGAAUUCCCGGUGUAGAGGUGAAAUUCGUAGAUAUCGGGAGGAUCACCUGUGGCGAAGGCGGCAUCCUGGACCGGCAUUGACGCUGAACAGCGAAAGCCAGGGGAGCAAACGGG